GGGGCACCGCGGCGCCGGACACUCCCUAACAACCGCGUUCCGUUACUAUGCGGAAGUGCAGCCGCUCAACCGCCGGAUUUCAUUCGUGACCCUUGUCCAGAGUGAGGGGGAGACACCAAAGCAACACUGCUAAACAGAGUGGCCAAAACUCUGCUUCGUGGGUUCGAGUAGGACUGUGAACCAGAGAGGUCUCAAGGCAACCAAGGCCUUGCUUUGGGGGAAUCUGAGACAUACCAGAGGGCUGAGAAGAACAGACAAGGAGAGGAGAAGCCAUCUAAAAAACUGGUUAAUCAAGAAGUAUGCUGUGAAAUUUGCUAUGGCUUGUUGGUGAUGGAAUUACUAGACCUGUCUGUGCCACAGGAUUCCAUGUGAAAAAUAAGCCAGAAAAUUGAGGAGGGGUAUGACAGGGACCAGCAACCAUGCUACAUGAAAGCCAAGGAGCUGUGGCAGGCACAUCAGAAGGCCAGGGAGGCCAACAAUCAAUCCAGUGCUGAGCUGCAGACCUGCCACUUUUACAAAGAGCUGCAUGCUAUACUCAGCAGAGACCCUACCACCACCCCCAACAGCACUGAGGAAAACUCUGAGGACUCUGAGUCACAGGCCCCUACUGUGAACAGCGAGGAGGAAGAGGUGGUGGACGAGGAAGAGGAGAAAAAGUAUGGGGGACAUCCAGCUGUGCAGUGGGCCAGGACUUGCUUUGACUCCACUGCAAUCCAGCUAGUCCUGCCAGUUGAGCAUGAGCAAGCCUGCUGCCUGAUGCAGGGGAAAGAACGUUGGCUAAAUGUGUAGAUAAAUUUUCAAUUACAGGGAUGUCCAUCCCAAAAAUAGCAGGACAUAUCUUUUGAAUUUUCAUUAAUUUAAUUGUGCUAGAAGAUGUAGUAUUACAAUCAAGAGAGGUAGAAUCGCUAACUCUAUUGUUAGUUGCAAUUAGCAGGGGCCCAUUCUGGUUAGCUUAAUUGGUGCAAACCCUAGAUUGGCCAUGUCUACACUAAGAAAAAUAGGAAUGAUUUUCCAAUGUGUUAGCUACCAACAUGCUGUAAAAUCCUAGUGUUACUGCUGCUGCUGUGAUAGGUGGGUCUCUCUUGACCAGAGUGGGCAAACUAUGGCCCACGGGCCACAUCUGGCCCUCCAGAUGAUUUAAUCCGGCCCUCGAGCUCCUGCUAUGGAGCAGGGUCUGAGGCUUGCCCUGCUUCUGCUCCCCAGCCAGAGAACGGGGUCAGAGGCUGCUCUGCUUACA